UACGUAGGGUGCAAGCGUUAAUCGGAAUUACUGGGCGUAAAGCGUGCGCAGGCGGCUAUGCAAGACAGAUGUGAAAUCCCCGGGCUCAACCUGGGAACUGCAUUUGUGACUGCAUGGCUAGAGUACGGUAGAGGGGGAUGGAAUUCCGCGUGUAGCAGUGAAAUGCGUAGAUAUGCGGAGGAACACCGAUGGCGAAGGCAUCCCCUGGACCUGUACUGACGCUCAUGCACGAAAGCGUGGGGAGCAAACAGG
rnacentral:rRNA from 1 species